ACCCAAAACUGAAGGCCAUAGUUCGACUAAAGAGAAUAUGAAUAAAAAAACUGAAUAACAUAAUAGCCCAAAGAGAGUGUGAACAGAAUACAGGAAUUCCAAUAGAGUUAGUGAAAAACAUGUAGAUGAACCCUUUAAUCAUUUCUGUUAUACACAAAGGAUACAUCAAAUGAAGAAAUAUCAAAGAAAACAACAAUUCUUUUUGGGGAGGCCAAAACAAGAAAUCAGAAUUCGAAACACCAGGGAGUUUAUAAUUCUCCAUACUUUCUUGGAGUAGGCAAUCUUGUGAAUUCAUGGACGUAUAACAAAUAUACUUCCAAAACAGCCUACUUUUCUUGCAAAAAUGAUUGCAACCCAUAAUAGUGGUUCAGUUCUUAUAGGCUUGGUUUACAUUGUUUUACAACCUGGCCAACUAUCAUAGUACUUCUAGGUGGAUAACUAAUCCAGUCAAACUAGGAUACCAGGUCCUGAUUUAAUAUGUAAGGGGAUCCAAUACUGUAUCUUCAUUACAGUUGCUCCAGCAUCAUUUCUUUCUCGUCGAGUCUCAGCCUGACGGCCUACUCAAGGGUUCCCCACCAAUAAUCAACUAAAUUUGGAAAACCAAAACUUCACUAAAUUUCUAAGCAUUAGCACAUUUAUUCACCAAAAAUUAUUUAGCCCCUCAGACUAGAGGGUACAUUUGCUUAUCUGGGUUGAGGUCUCAGUUUUACCAUCUGCAUCAAAGUUUUGAAAGAGUUCAUAAGUGGCUAAAUCUGCCACCAACCAAUCAGUUAUAGAUCCUGCUGAAAGUAAGAAAAAAGAAAUCAGCAGGAAUGCUGGAAGCAAUAAGAGUGUUGGCUUACCAUAGGAUCAAAUAAUGUCCCAACAGUUGGUACAACAGAUACACCCAAGUUCUUCAUGAUUUCUACAAAUUGCUUGUAUAUGCCCUGAUAACUUGCAUCAAUUUUCUUUUCCUGCUCUGUCUCUAGUUUCAUAUGUUGCUUGGCUCGUUCAAAGUUAUCUACCAUAGGCAAGAGACUCUCAAUCACUUCUCCCUGGGCAUUACUCCUUAUUGUUAGCUUCUCAUUCUCUGUUCUCUUCCUGAAGUUGUCAAAAUCUGCUUGCAAACGAACAUACUUGUCCUUCUGAGCACCAAUUUCAUCUGACAAAACAGAAACCUUUUCUAACAACUCAUUCCUCUCCUUUUCUACCAUGUGUAUUAUCUCUUCAAAAUCGGAUAUACUUUUCUCAUCUCCAUUUAAAAUGGCCUCCUUAUAAGCUGAGAUAGUAGACUCCAAUCUUGAAGGAAGUUCUUGGUCCGCUUCCUCUUCUGUUUUACUGAGAGGAGUCUCAUCUUCAUCAUCAGUCUAUCAUGUAUCACAUUGAUAUUAUUAAGCAUGCAAUGGCAGCUAUAAAAGUACUCAAAAUUUCUACCAUUAUACAGAAAAUUUAUAUGGUUGAUGAAAAAUUACCAUUACUUGUUACCUUUGUAAAUGAACUGAACAUUGCAUGAGAUAAGAACCAAUAAUAGGUUCAAAACAGAGACACUGACAGAGGAAGCGAUCUCUAAACUUUGAAGUAUGAGACACACACUGUAAAGUAUACAGACAUGGUACACUAACUCUCUCUCUCUCUCUCUCUCUCUGUUUUGAUUCAUUGGUGGUGGUGUAAGGGGAACUCAACUUAACCUCGUCCCGUUUUAAUAGUUUUUGAAAAAAGAGACAAACAAAACUUCAUUUUUCAGCAGCAGCCUUGAAGCCAGCAAGAAACACUAUGAAUGAAAUACUUACUUACAAUUCCUGUCAAUAAGUUGAUUUAGUAAUUUCUCUGAAAGCAGACACCUUAAAGCAAAAUUGAUGAAAGAAAAGAUGUAUCUGUUCACUGUAUUUUGACCAAAUUCCAGCAGAUUUGCACAAUUUUUUAGAAUAAAAAAUCAACUAAAAUAACAACAUCUUUGUUCAUGUUUACAUAUCUAUACUUGAAAUUCAGCUUGUAAUUCCCCAAAAUCAAGCCUGCUUACCAAUAACCAAUAUCAAAUUUAAUAAAUGAAUCUAAGAUACAUAAAGAAUCAAAAUUGGCUUCGACUAAACACACCAAGCGAAGAAAGAACAUCAGCCACAACUUCCAUCACGAGUUAAAAGCAACUAAACAAAAAAAAAUUACUUCGGAAGCGGAGUCUUCGGAUUGUGACUGAGAAGCUUUAAGAAAUCGGCAUCUCCUGCUGCUGUUGUUAUUGAUUACCGGAAUGUUUGCAUUUUUGGGCAAACAAAAACAAAAGCCUCUGGAGGAAAUGGGUUUCAAGGAAAAUGGGUUUGGAAAUAAUUUGAAGAAGAUGAAGGAAGGAUGGGCGAUGAGGAGAAGCAUAUGAACAAAGAUAAGCUGUUGAAGCUGAAGCUGUUGGUGCCGCCGCCAUAGAAGUUUCUAGUAUUAUCACUGAAGAUUGAAAGGGAGAGUCUGGUAAUUUCACACCAGCGGAGGAAGAAGAAGGUGGAGUUGGUGUAGGGGUUUUGGGAUAAGAGAAAACGAUGUCGUUAAGUCAGAAAGCCGAAAACGACAAAAAAGAAUAAAAUAAAAACAAAAGGCCCAACUUAGCCUUAUUCUAGAUACAUCUUCACGCGUGUGCUGCAUUUUCUGGUCUCUCACUAGCGCCAAAACAGCUGCAUUUGAGUUGAGUUCAACAGUUGACAACUCGAAUUUUAACUAAAAUAUCGCUGAGUUUUUAGAAACCGAAUCGUGCUAGCUCGAUUUUAGUUUAACUUUUCUUUUUUGCCGUAACUGCACGUUUAACAUAACCUAACCUACUCUUACUUCUACCAGGGGAACCUACUCUAUAAGAUGGCUUAAUUGAGUCAGAAAACCUGACGAGAACUGAACAAUCAUUAAACUAAACGGAUGCACCACACACUCAAUGGAUUUUGAACUCUUAACCUCCCACCCCACAAUAAAUGCGAUGACCAAUUCCUCUUGAGGGAGUUUUAGUUUAACUUGAGUUCAUAAAAAUUCGAGAUCGAGCUAGAUCGAUUUUAGUUUUACUUGAGUUUGAACUUAAGUUAAUUGAGUUUGAUGAAAUCUAAUCAAGUUUAAUGGAGUCUAUUCAAUCUAAUCAAAUUCACCUAAUAAAAUGAUAUUUCGAUAUUUCGCUUGUAUUAUAAACACAUUUUUUAAUUUACUUUUUUCUAUUUUCAACCAUUUUUUUUAUCUCACGUACAUCAUAUCACAAAAAAUGUUACAGUAAUUAUUUCAAAUAAUACUCUAUCUUACAUAUAAUUUUAAACAAAGAAUAUAAUCGAUAUUUUACAAUAAUAAACAUAAAAAAUAAAAAUAAUAUAUAUGUGUGUGUAUGUGGGUGCAUGUGUGUGUGUGUCGGUUAGAUUUGUCAAGCUUACAAGUUUAGAAAUAUAAUACUCAAGCACGAUUUUUAAGUAUUUUGAAGUUGUUUAAACUUGACUCGAGUUUAGUCAAUGUCUAACUCAAGCCGGAUAGUUGAGUUAGUUACUCGCGAAUUUGAGUCUAAUAGCUUGAUCAACUCGCAGUCCUAGUUUACUGAACGACUACUUGACCCGUGAAAGGGAAAAGUGACCGACCGGUAGUAUUGAUUGAACACAAAUUUGAACUGUAUCCAUCCGUAGUUAUAAAUCAAUAUGGGUGGGUAAGGGUCAAGUAUGCGCUCCAUGCAUCACUUGACCGAUGUCAGGAUAUGAAAUUGUUGAAUUGAGAUUAAUUGGGUAUAUUUCAAUUAAAGGUCAAAACGAUGUCGUUUGGGUUAGUAGUUAGUUAAAGUAGUUACUUAGCAAUUGCAGGUUGUUAAGUUUGUUAUAAGUAGAGGACCCACGCAUGAGAGAUACAGACUUUGUUUUUGGUAAUCAGAUGUAUUUCAAUUCCUCUUUCUAAAUUCUAUUUCUUCCCCAUUCUCUCUGAUUCUCUCCCUCUCUGCAAUCUUCAGCUCAUUUCCCAACUUAAUCCCCAAUCGUAACUCAGAUAUAAACAAUUGCACUUAAGUUCCUGACAAAUUGGUAUCAGAGCAAGAGAUCCUUGGAAAUUACCAUUAGCAAUGGCAGAAGGCACUAGAUUCCGGUCAUUGGAGGAGCAAGUUAAGAAACAAGAAAUCAAGCUGCAGGAAUUGGUAGAAUCUCUCCAUACAUCACAGUCGGAGCAGCAGCAAAUUAAAAAGGAAUUGAAACAGGAACUGGAGGAGAGUAGCAAACGGAUGGAAGGCCUAUUAUUAGGUAUGGAGCAGAAUUUUCUCAAAAUUUUGGAGCAAAAGCUGAACAAUCUUCUGCUAAGGACUCCUAUGAAGGAGAAGACUACUGAAGGGGAUGGAAGAUUGCCAGUAGAUCAGACGCCACUGUUACCAACUCCACCAGCUCACUGCAGGAUACAACCUGAAGGCGAAGCUCAGAAACUCUUCAAGAAGGACUGGAGUAAGUUUCAGAUUCCAAAUCCUCCUAAAAUUGAUUUACAGCUAUUUUCUGGAGAACAUCCUAGGGUUUGGCUGAGGAAAUGUAAUAAAUACUUUUUGAAUUAUCAAGUUCCACACGAGCAUAAAAUUGAAAUCAUUGAAAUGUAUCUGGAUGGCAAGGCUGACAAAUGGUUCCAAGGUGUAAAAAUUGAAAAGCCUAGAUUAGGAUGGGAGGAAUUUGAAGAUAUGUUAUGUAGGAGGUUUAAUGAUAGAUCGUGUAAGGAUAUAGUGGAAGAAUUCAAUAAACUGCAACAAGUAGGCAGUAUCGAGGACUAUCAGGAGAGAUUUGAGGAGCUGAAGCCUUUGAUGAUGAUCAAAAAUAGAAACCUGGAUGAAAACUAUUUUAUUUCCAGUUUCAUAAGUGGACUUAAGGAAGAAAUUAAGCCUGUGGUCAGGAUGCUGAAACCUGCCACACUAUCUGAAGCCUUCGAGCUAUCUCAAUGGCAAGAGCAAGUCAUAAGAAUCCAGAAUAAAAGCUCCAAGGAAAACACCAGGCCAAUGGGAGAAAACAAAUUUGGCAUAACCAGAAGUGCUAACACUUCUGUUGGAACAAAUUCUUACAAGGUCCCUGCCACUAGCAAUUUUAAGCACACUAAGUUUAGGAGUUCACCAGGGGAUACUAAGGAACCAGCAAAGUUGUCUGCUCAGGAGUUGCAGUAUAGGAGGAGUAAUGGAUUGUGUUUCAGGUGCGGAGAGAAGUAUGGAAUGGGACAUCAGUGUAGAGUGGGUCACUCAAAUUGUAUGACACUGGAAGAGGAGGAGGAUUCUGCAUUUGAGGAUGCCCUUGGAGAACAAGAUGAACAGACUGGGAAUCUUGGACAGGCCAUGGAAGUGUCACUGCAUGCUUUAUCUGAGGCUCUUAAGAGAAAAACUAUUACACUCUCUGGAAUCUUAGAUGGGGAGGAAGUACUGAUAUUGGUGGACACUGGGAGCUCAGACAGCUACAUUAGCAGUGAGCUUGUAAUUGGGAUGGACAUAGGCUAUCAGUGGGUGGAUCAACCAUUCUCUGUCAUAAUGGGGAAUGGAUCAUGUGUCACCAGCAAUGCAAUAUGCAAUGGGGUGCAGUGGAGGAUUAAUCAACACAACUUCAGGUAUAACCUCAAGGUAAUGGAACUGGGAGGUUGGGACAUAAUCCUAGGAGUGGACUGGAUGACACACUUCAGUCCCAUCACAUUCGACUUCCAACAACUCAGGAUAUCCCUGCACCAUGAAGGAGAUGAAAUCCAUCUACAUGGCCAAGCCGAUAACUGUGACAUGGAUUUGAUCAGGGGCAAGGACUUAAGAACAUUUAUAGAAUACAAGAAACAGAUGUGUAUGGCUAUGUGUGGCCAACAGGAAAAAGACAGACAAGGGAAGUCAGAAACCACACCUCAAGAGGUAGAGGCCCUGCUACAGGACUAUAAGGAUGUCUUUCAGACUCCUAGCUCAUUACCCCCAAGUAGGAGCGUAGACCAUGAGAUUCCUCUCAAACAGGAGGCUCAGCCAUUCAAACUUAAGCCUUACAGAUAUCCUCACUGUCACAAGGAGGAGAUAGAGAGACAGGUUACUGAAAUGCUGCAGAAAGGUAUUGUGAAACACAGUAACAGCCCUUUGCCUCCCCUGUACUACUAGUCAAGAAGAAGGAAGGCACCUGGAGGUUUUGUGUGGACUACAGGAAGCUGAAUGAGAUCACUAUUAAAGACAGAUUUCCAAUACCCAAUGUAGAUGAACUGUUGGAUGAGUUAUCAGGAGCUGUGUUCAAAACCAAGUUAGCAAUGGAGGCUUUCAGUAAACAGCAGCAACUAACAUUGCAGACAACUAUUACAAAAAAGAUUCUAAGCUAGAAGAAUUACAUGUAAACACUGAAAGUUUCAGAUGAAUUUUCCAGUGACACUCAAUCUCUCGUCAAGCUGAUUAAAAGCAGUAUUAUUGCCUUGAAAAUUUCGUUUUAUUUCAUGGUUCCAAGUGUUCAAAGAGUAGCGUAAGCAAAGAAAUUUGAUCUCUGGAUGAGAGGUUCAUUGCAUAUGGAGAUUUAACACUAAGUUUGGGUUGGGACAUUGGGCCAAAUGUAACAAAGUAUUACGGGGUACAUUCGUGGUAAAUUUCAUUUUCUGGAAGCUGGAACAGAUGAUAGUUACCUAAACAAAGAAACUUACUCCCAGAUUUAUUAUGGAGGAAGAGACAAUAUUUGGCUUUUCUUUUGGGUUGGGGGGGAGGGGGGGGAAUACACCUAUUAAAAACUUUUGGCCUUCAUAAUGUAAAUACCCCUUAUUUUCAGAGAAAAGAAUUUCUUAUGGGUGGCAUUGCAAGUGGAAGGACAUUUCUGAUAAGUUGGAAGUAUGUCAGGCCAAUUAUAGAGAAGAUUAAUCAUUCUUGUUCUGAGAGUUGUAACUGAUGCUUGGUUACAAAAAGUUACCGAACAAAAUGCUACAUGGAGAAGCCCAACGGCCUAAAAGUUUAAGUUUUAAGAUGAAAACUGCUAUGAAAUGCUCCUUUACAAAUGAAUCGGAGAUUGACAGGAAUCAAGAAUUUCCAAACUUGUCUAUCUAAGAUAAAUCACUACUAUACAAAAAGCCUUUUCUUGGAAAUCAAGUAUGCCAAAGCACAUGAAUUCCAAACCUAUUCUUUAAAACUUUUAAUAGUUUGGGUGCUAUUGUUCAUGUUGCAGAAAUUGAGGCAAGAAUGACCUCUUGCAAAAAAAUAAACAAGAGGAACUUACAAGACAAAAUGAAUCGUGUUCAGCAGCUAAUCUAGGACCUAAGGAACUUCAAUCUCAAAUUGCUAGCUCUCCAAGCUUCGUACUUUUAAUUUCAUCCAGUUGAGUAUUCUCAGCAUGAAAAAUAUCUCAGUCCAUAUGCAUUUUUUGUAGUAGCUUUGUAUUUCUCAAUUACAAUCAUGAAGAACAAUGCUAUUGUGUAUCUUUCCACAUGGAUGCAAACAUUCAACACCACAAACCAUCAGAUGGUAACUGUAAAACUUGACAAGUUCAAUGCCAACUUUCUAGGUCUGAUCUUUCUUUUCCACAUUUUUUAUCCCUCAAGCUUGUCACCUCAAAAUUUAAGUGUCCACCAUCACUCAACAAUCACAACCACAACAGCCUAUUUUCACCUUCUUGGUGCUGUAUUUCAGCUUCCAUUGCAGUUUAUAAAGUUGUCCUGAUUGGAGAGAAGGAAAUAGAGCUUUUGGGGGUGUACCAAGACAGUAUGAAUAUGAAAAUUUUACUGCCUUCACCCAAAACUGAAGGCCAUAGUUCGACUAAAGAGAAUAUGAAUAAAAAAACUGAAUAACAUAAUAGCCCAAAGAGAGUGUGAACAGAAUACAGGAAUUCCAAUAGAGUUAGUGAAAAACAUGUAGAUGAACCCUUUAAUCAUUUCUGUUAUACACAAAGGAUACAUCAAAUGAAGAAAUAUCAAAGAAAACAACAAUUCUUUUUGGGGAGGCCAAAACAAGAAAUCAGAAUUCGAAACACCAGGGAGUUUAUAAUUCUCCAUACUUUCUUGGAGUAGGCAAUCUUGUGAAUUCAUGGACGUAUAACAAAUAUACUUCCAAAACAGCCUACUUUUCUUGCAAAAAUGAUUGCAACCCAUAAUAGUGGUUCAGUUCUUAUAGGCUUGGUUUACAUUGUUUUACAACCUGGCCAACUAUCAUAGUACUUCUAGGUGGAUAACUAAUCCAGUCAAACUAGGAUACCAGGUCCUGAUUUAAUAUGUAAGGGGAUCCAAUACUGUAUCUUCAUUACAGUUGCUCCAGCAUCAUUUCUUUCUCGUCGAGUCUCAGCCUGACGGCCUACUCAAGGGUUCCCCACCAAUAAUCAACUAAAUUUGGAAAACCAAAACUUCACUAAAUUUCUAAGCAUUAGCACAUUUAUUCACCAAAAAUUAUUUAGCCCCUCAGACUAGAGGGUACAUUUGCUUAUCUGGGUUGAGGUCUCAGUUUUACCAUCUGCAUCAAAGUUUUGAAAGAGUUCAUAAGUGGCUAAAUCUGCCACCAACCAAUCAGUUAUAGAUCCUGCUGAAAGUAAGAAAAAAGAAAUCAGCAGGAAUGCUGGAAGCAAUAAGAGUGUUGGCUUACCAUAGGAUCAAAUAAUGUCCCAACAGUUGGUACAACAGAUACACCCAAGUUCUUCAUGAUUUCUACAAAUUGCUU
rnacentral:lncRNA from 1 species